UGCUGCAUGGCUGUCGUCAGCUCGUGUCGUGAGAUGUUGGGUUAAGUCCCGCAACGAGCGCAACCCUCAUCCUUAGUUGCCAUCACGUUUGGGUGGGCACUCUAAGGAAACUGCCGGUGGCAAGCCGGAGGAAGGUGGGGAUGACGUCAAGUCCUCAUGGCCCUUACGGGUAGGGCUACACACGUGCUACAAUGGCAGUGACAAUGGGAUAAUCCCAAAAAGCUGUCUCAGUUCGGAUUGUCGUCUGCAACUCGACGGCAUGAAGGUGGAAUCGCUAGUAAUCGUGGAUCAGCAUGCCACGGUGAAUACGUUCCCGGGCCUU
rnacentral:rRNA from 1 species